rnacentral:rRNA from 1 species
UUUUGUGUUACGACCCACUGAUCAUGAAUCCUACCGUGGUAAUCGCCCUCCACGGUUAGGCUAACUACUUCUGGUAAAACCCGCUCCCUUGGUGCUUGGAAGCGGGCAGUGUGUACAGGCCCGGGGCAAUAUUCACGCGACAUCCUGAAUCGCGGUUACUAGCGUUCCGGCUUUACUGGAAUGGUUGCAGACUGCGAUCCGGACUACGAUCGGGUUUCUGGGAUUGGCUCCCCUCGCGGGUUGGCGGCCUCUGUCCCGACCAUUGUGUGGCCAUUAAUGACCUACGCCAGGCCAUGAGGACUUGACGUCGUCCACCUUCUCCGGUUUGUCACCGGCAGUCUGGUGGAGGUACCGCUACAGCAGCAACUGACGGCAAGGGUUGCGCUCGAAUUGGGACUUAACCCAACGUACGACGACUGACGACAGCCAUGCCCAGCACCUGUGUUCCGGUUCUCUGCGAGCACUCCCAAGUCUCUUCGGGAUUCCGGGCUGUAUCAAGGGUAGGUGGGUUUUCGCGUUGCAUCAGAUUAAUCCACAUCAUCACGCUUGUGCGUUCCCCGUCAAUUCUUUGAGUUUUAAUCUUUUGACCAAGCACUCCCCAGGCGGUCAGCUUCACGCAGUCAGCUGCUUUAAGACGAAAGCCCCAACAGCUGGUUGGCAUAAUUUGGGCGUGGACUACCAGGGUAUCUAAUCCUGUUUUGUCCCGCGCAGCGCGACGUCGAAUUGCUUCAUCAGGAGGCUGCAUUGUCGUUGUUGCUCCGCAUAUCUGCAUUUCACCACUACGCUGAAUUUUGCACCUCCCUCUGACCGCUCGCUCCGGUAGGGUUAAAAAUGCAGUUUCGAGUUAAGCUCAAGUUUAUCUGCGCGAACCGCCUGCUGCGCACGCUUUACGCCAGUAAUUCCGAUUAACGCUUGCCACCGCGUUACCGCGGCUGCUGGCGUGGUUUAGCCGGUGCUGAUGGUACCGUCGGUUGCACGGUGUUAUCCCGUGCCGUUUCUUUCCUGCCGAAGUGCUUUAACCCGAAAGUGCCUUCAUCGCACGCAGGAUGGCAGGAUCAGGGUUUCCCCCGACUGUCCAAAAUUCCCACUGCUGCCUCCCGUAGGAGUCGGGCGUCUCAGUCCCGGUGUGGCAUUCAUUAUCAAACCCAGCUACGGAUCGUCACAUAUGGUGAAGCCGUUACCCCACCAACUAAGCUAAUCCGAUAUCGGCCCGCUCUAAUAGUGCGAGGCCCGGGGUCCCGCUUACACGAGCGUAUGCGGUAAUGGCCACUUUGGCAGUUAUCCCCCGCUUCUGGGCACGUUCCGAUACAUUACCGUUCUGCUCGCCGCAGAAUAAGUCCCAGUACUUUGCGGAUGACUUGCAUUAACAUGCAGCAUCCCGCCAGCGUUCGUCCCAGGCCAGGAUCGACU